rnacentral:misc_RNA from 1 species
GAUGAAGAACGCAGCGAAAUGAGAUAAGUAAUGUGAAUUGCAGAAUUCAGUGAAUCAUCGAAUCUUUGAACGCACAUUGCGCCCCUUGGUAUUCCGAGGGGCAUGCCUGUUCGAGCGUCAUUAUAACCCUCAAGCUCAGCUUGGUGUUGGGGCCUGCUGCACUGGCAGCCCUUAAAAUCAGUGGCGGCGCCAUCUGGCUCUAAGCGUAGUAAUUCUUCUCGCUAUGGAGUCCUGGUGGAUGCUUGCCAUCAACCCCCAAUUUUUCUAUGGUUGACCUCGGAUCAGGGAGGGAUACCCGCUGAACUUAAGCAUAUCAAUAAGCGGAGGA